GGUCGGUGGACCUUUGUCUUUAUAUGUAUCUCACAAAAGAAAAAGUACAAGAGGCGUGUACGAUCUAUUGGGGUGACCUAUUCCUCCAUUCUCCGAUCAAAUCCUCCGCCGGAAAACAGUCAAUUCCGGUAAUCAUCUCACUAAAUGAACAACUGAAUGAACGAUUGAUCGAUCGUGUACGUAUGGCGGAUAAGAAGAAGAUCAAGAGCGAAGCUAGCAGCAGCACCAGUACGAUCGAAAAUGUCAAAAGCGAAAGCGUCGUCGUUGACGUUGGUCGCCGGAGAAGCUCAUGCGGUUAAUGCAAAUCCGGUUCCAACACUAGCAUCACUCACGGUUACUUUCAGAUUUCACGCACUAAUUAGGUUUACUGUGGCUGUUUAAUUUGUUGAUUUCACUAAUCUGAUUAGACAUAUAUGAUAUAUUAUGUUACAAAAGAUAAUAUGUGAAUUGUGAUCCUUUUGAUGAAUAGAAAGUGAACAAGUUUGUACUUUUUAGGGCCAAAUUGUGAAAAUUUGGGAACUGUUUGGGGCCAGGGUAAAAGUAAACAGAUUUCUUAGGUCAAAUUGUAUCUUAUAUGAAUAUUUUAGCAUGUUUGAAUAAGGUGGAGAAAAUGUUAUGAUACAUGUAUAACUUGAUUAACAGUAUAUCCGUUACUAUGCAGUUAACUCGGUGAUAUAUCCGUUAUCACCGAUAUAUCGGUUAUCGGUCCCCAUGUAAAAUAUCGGUGUCAAAUAUCGUUCGGAAUAUCGGUACCAAUAUUAUCCGAUAAUUGAUCGAUAUUUGACUAUAUCACAGAUUUUCCCGAUAUCAAUACCUUUCUUCUUAGUUCUAUCAUUCGUAUUUCUUCUUAUUGCUGCUAUUAGUGUUAUAAGUCUUAAUUGGUUAAUUGUUUGUGUUUAAUGUUUGUGUUUUAAGUCUUAAUUGUUAGCGUUUUGCAAGUUGUAAAAGGUUAAUUUGUUAAUGGUAGGAGAGUAUACUAAAUUGUUAGUGUUAAAUUGCUAUAUAUGUGUAAGUUCUACAUGAUAUUAAAUUACCGAUAUCUCACCGCGAUACAAUUGUUAGUUCCUACUUGCUACAAUUGUUAAAUUGUUAGUGUUAAAUUGCUAAAUUGUCAGUUCCUACUUGCUACAAUUGUUAGCGUUUUGCAAGUUGUAAAAGGUUAAUUUGUUAAUGGUAGGAGAGUAUACUAAAUUGUUAGUGUUAAAUUGCUAUAUAUGUGUAAGUUCUACAUGAUAUUAUAUUACCGAUAUCCCACCGUGAUAACCUCUAUCUCAAAUGUUUGUCCUUGACUGAUAUCCAGUUUUUUACCGCAUUAACUGCUUAGUGUGUAGCAGUCUCAAAUCAAUUUGUUUGAGAUUUAGCUAUAUAAUCAUCAAAAGUAAGGUGAAAGUGAUCUGAUACUAGGCUGAAAACAUAUAGGUUGGAAAAACCAUCACUUGAGUAUUUACUUUCUUAGCAUUGGACGCGUGGAAAUAUUCAUAAUAAAAGUUUAGGUAAUUGCUAAUACUUUUUCAAAUCUUCCUUGAUUUUGUCAUGUAUUGAUUGUUUUAUUAGACAUGUGUUUUAGAUAUUCAAAUCGUUUUUUAGAGAUAGUUAGUAAUUGAUCCUUUGAGUACUCUAUACUUCUACGCUUAAUUUGGCGUACACAAAAGUGAGAUGAUUUAGGUAAUUCUUCGACAAGUUUGAACUUGGCGAGUAGAUUUAACAAUUUCUCUUUAGUGUAUACUUAAAUUUGCAACAAUCUAAAUAGUAAUCUGUUUCAUUUCUUUUCUUCAAAGUUUUGAACCAACAAAAAAGGCCCUUACACUUUCAAGUUUUUCCACUUUACACCCUUAAUUUUUUGACAUGAAACACUAUUAACCCUUAUAUUUAAGUAAGUUGCACAUUCACAUCUAACUUUUCGGUAAUUGACAACUUUGACCUUCUUAACCUUUUCUACUUAAUAACUUGACACCUCCUUUGGUUUAAAUGACUUUUACGACUUUACACGGUAACGUGGACAAAUUAUUAUACUUUUUUUUAUCUAUGUUUUACUUAUUUUGUGCAUGUUCGUAAACUGUAUUUGAAAGCAAGUCGGGUCAAAUAUGCUACGUUUUCAUUUGAUGGCGAUGUAAUUUUUUUAAGUAAAAAGUCGGGUCAAAUAUACAGUAUAAAUUCGAGUUACUUUAACUUUCGACGCCGCCGCAACGCGCGGCGGGUCAAAAUACUAGUAUAUAUAAAUUGAAAAGGUACGUGAAAAUAAUAUACAUGGAUGAUGUGAGAAUAGUGUAAACCAUAAUUAAUUGGCAAAUUCUUGUAUAUUUUAUACAUGAAAUGCAACUAUCGGAGGCUGAUACAUAUCCUAUUAAAAUUACAACUUACAAGGGUUAGGUUAGUUUUUAAUAAAUAUUUUAUAGCUAAUUAGAGAUUUAAAUAAAGGUUUGACACGUAAGUUCCGUGUCUGCUUUAUGAAAUUCGAGAAAACGAACAUCAUUUGUACAUAAAAAAGACUUUAGAAAAUGAUAUGAACAUCAUUUGUAUAUAAAAAAGACUUUAAAAAAUGAUAUAUGAAAGACUCCACCAACCAAAUACGCUGUUGUAUAAGACCAUGUGUAGUGGGACGUUUUUUUUUUUUUUUAAAAUUGCCCAAUCACGCCCCUUCCCUACUACACCUGGGCAUAAUCUUGCAAAAAAUGCUCCUUGGCGUGGUUUGAAAAACGCCGAAUGGAGAAAAGGUUGACCAAUCACAUUAGAGAUUCCAUUUGCUUGACCAAUAAGAUUUUUAGGUGUUUUUUUUUUAAUUUUAUUUUAGUACAAAACAUAUUGCCCAAUAAUGCCCCAUCCACACUACACCUAUUUUAGAAAACGGCCAAUAAUGCUCCAUUGCUGACUGUGCUACCGCAUGACGCAAAAUGCCCAAGGGUACCAAGUUGCCCAGUACGCGUGGUCUAAGUUAGGCUUGGUAUUCCCCUUUGCUUUCUUCUUCUUCUUCACACCUCACAAUCUUUCCCUACAAAUUCCGAUUCCUUCAACAAGCAGAAGACCAGAAGAGAAAGUCUCUGGUAUUAUUGAUCAUUUACUAUUCACCUCCAAUUAAGAGAAGUAUAAUUAUUCAUUAAUUUUCUUCAGUAUCUUUUAAUGCUUAUUUUCUGUGUGUAAUCCAAAUAGUUUUAUCUUGUUUAGGUGAGUAUGUAAGUGUAACGCAACACUGUAGAGUUCAUAUUAGGCCUGGCGAAUGGGUCGGGUUUGGGUUGCGGGUCAAAACAGGUUCCUUAAUUGAGUAACCCCAUCAAUUCUAAAUACAGAAAAUGUGUAGGUUCCUAUCACGUGGAUCGUAACUAGAUUGACAAUCAAUGAAGGGUGCGGAAUCCCGUGACGGAUCACACAACACACAGAAACAAGAAAGAUGAAGAACACAAUGCAAUAUACUAUUUAAACUGAUCUUCUAUGAUUAUCAAAACAAAGUUAAUCCCAGUUAUCUGAUAUCUCAAGAUAUUCACUGAUUGUGAGCAGAAAGAAAUAUAUGGACCAUGAUGUUAAAUUACACAGACAAUUUUUUUAAUAAUAUAUAAAUAACAAAAAAGUAAUUAAAAAGCAAACGUAAGUAUGACGGUUGGUGAUAAUCGGUGGUGGCGGCAGCGGUCGGAAGUAGUAGUACGGAGGUAGAUGAUGAUCAGUGGUGGUGGAGGCGGCGUUCGGAAGUACGGCCGUAGAUGAUAAUCAGUGGUGGUGGCGGCGGCGUUCGCGGUUGAUGAUAAUCAGUGGUGGUGGUUGCGGCGUUCGGAAGUACGGCGGUUGAUAUCUAACCGUCUCAACAAAUAUGUACAUCAUUCUUGUAACUACGCAUAAAAAAUAGAAACAGAGCAAUAUCGCAACAAAUAAACGUUAAUUAACUAUACUUUUUACUAAAGCGUAUAAGCAUUACUACAUGUUCUUCACAUCACUACCAUGAUAAUACUCUCUCUCUAUUUACUUUCUCUCUAGAGCUCAAGACUUAAUUUCACGUCGGAUGCUGAUUGUAGGAGACCCCCUCGUGCAAUAAAACAUAAAUCUAACGGCAUUUUGUUCUAAGCAGGGUACUUCCUGAUCCUAUCUAUCCAUCCAUCCAUCGGACCAACAACACCUUUUUAUGUUGGAGCAAUAAUAUGUAAUAAACAAGUAAUAUAUAACUAAAGUUAAUGUUCACACAUCCAUCCUCUCUAUCUCUCUCUAUAUAUAUAUAAAGUGAAAAGGGAUGUAAGAAUAGUGUAAGCCUUGAUUAAGGGUUAGGUGAAACGUACUUCCUGAUCCUAUCUAUCCAUCCAUCCAAACUCUUGCAUAUUUUUAUACCUGAAAUGCAAUUAUUGAAGGCUGAUAUAUAUUAAAAUUUCAACUUACAAGGGUUAGGUGAAACGUAGUUUUUAAUAAAUAUUUUAUAGCUAAUUAGAAAUUUAAAUAAAGGUAUGACACGUAGGUUCCGUGUCAGCUACAGCUAUGAAAUUCGAGAAAACAAACAUCAUUUGUAUAUAAAAAAGACUUUAAAAAAUGAUACCAUAUGAAAGACUUUAAAAAAUGAUAUAUGAAAGACUUUUCAGAUUUUAAGUUACAAAGAUUCCACCAAAUACGCUCUUAUAUAAAAGGCUUGGUAAUCUUUCCUUACAAAUUCCGAUUCUUUCUUGAACAAGUAGAAGAUCAGAAGAGAAAGUAGCGACAGACCACUCACUCAGUUUAUUUCCCUCACACGCCUAACAUGUGGGGGUCCCACUAUCGUUUGAUGACCGACAUCAACUGACUCGCAAAAUGGAACGGAGAUGUGGUGCAAACGCAAAACUGCCUGAAACCAAGCAAAAUUGCCUCUGUUUUCACCGGAGAUGUAGUUUAAACACAACUGGAUCUCUUAAAUUUAUGGGGCCAUUCACAUGGAGCAAACCUCUUUUCAUUCCGAGCUAUCAACAUCCACUCGGAGGAGAGAUCCAGCCCACAUUUCGCUGACUAAAUGCCAAACAAACCAUAUUUGCAGGUUGAUAGCCUCACGUUAGUUCUGUAUGUGAAUUCAAAUUGAAAAGUGCAUAUCAUUUUCUGUAAUUGUUUUCCUCUUUAGUUUUGAUUACUUGAUUGAGAUUACAUGUAUUAAAUAGGGAAGACUAAAAACUAAUAUUUAGGUACAAAGCAAUGGGCCAUGAAUAGGGGAAGAAGAAAUAAGUGGAUUUAUUGGACUGAAUGUAUAUUUGGGUGGCUGAGAACCUGAGGCUUUUUAUUUUUUAUUUUUUACACUUAAUAAUAAUAACUAUUUAAUA